rnacentral:rRNA from 1 species
CCUACGGGAGGCUGCAGUGGGGAAUAUUGGUCAAUGGGCGCGAGCCUGAACCAGCCAAGUAGCGUGACGGAUGACUGCCCUACGGGUUGUAAACUUCUUUUGUCAAGGAAUAAUGUGCGGCACGUGUGCCUUUUUGUAUGUACUUUGUGAAUAAGGCUCGGCUAACUCCGUGCCAGCAGCCGCGGUAAUACGGGGGCUCCGAGCGUUAUCCGGAUUUAUUGGGUUUAAAGGGAGCGUAGAUGGGUUGUUAAGUCAGGUGGGAAAGUUUGCGGCUCAACCGUAAAAUUGCAAUUGAUACUGGCAGUCUUGAGUACAGUUGAGGUAGGCGGAAUGCGUGGUGUAGCGGUGAAAUGCGUAGAUAUCACGAAGAACUCCGAGUGCGAAGGCAGCUUACGAAACUGCCACUGACAUUGAGGCUCGAAAGUGUGGGUAUCAAACAGGAUUAGAUACCCGUGUAGUC